UACGGAGGGGGCUAGCGUUGUUCGGAAUUACUGGGCGUAAAGCGCACGUAGGCGGCUUUGUAAGUUAGAGGUGAAAGCCCAGGGCUUAACCCUGGAAUUGCCUUUAAGACUGCAUCGCUAGAAUCGUGGAGAGGUGAGUGGAAUUCCGAGUGUAGAGGUGAAAUUCGUAGAUAUUCGGAAGAAACACCAGUGGCGAAGGCGACUCACUGGGCCCCAUUACGUGACGCUGAGGCGCGAA
rnacentral:rRNA from 1 species